GAUUAACGCUAGCGGCAGGCAUAAUACAUGCAAGUUGAACGGGCUUAGUUUAGCAAUAGACUAUGAUAGUGGCGCACGGGUCCGUAACACGUAUGCAACCUGCCCUUGACUGGAGACUAUCCUCUCGAAAGAGAGAUUAAUGUUCCAUAACAUACUGAUAGAGCAUUCUAUUAUUCUCAAAGCCCCGGCGGUCAAGGAUGGGCAUGCGGUGGAUUAGCUAGUUGGUGAGGUAACGGCUCACCAAGGCGACGAUCAAUAGGGGGUCUGAGAGGAUGUCCCCCCACACUGGUACUGAGACACGGACCAGACUCCGACGGGAGGCAGCAGUAGGGAAUAUUGGUCAAUGGAGGCAACUCUGAACCAGCCAUGCCGCGUGCAGGAAGACUGCCCUAUGGGUUGUAAACUGCUUUUGUACGGGAAGAAACCUUCGAAUGCGUUCGAAGUUGACGGUACCGUGAGAAUAAGGAUCGGCUAACUUCGUGCCAGCAGCCGCAGUAAAAC
rnacentral:rRNA from 1 species